GAUAUGCAACCCCACAUGACCCAUAUGACCUGCUUUGGCCGAAGGAUUCAGUAACCUGGUCAGCCAAGUGAGGCUGGAGAUGAGUGGAGAUGAGUGGAAGUUAAGCAAGGGAAAGUCACCUUAUCGAUCGUCGCUUGAAUCUUAUUAGUUUUCCACCGAAAGCCAUUCCACAGAAGAAACAUCUAACUCUCCCGAGAUCGCCAGUGGAUGAUCGACUUCCAUCAGGCGUUUACUGCAGUCGAAUCGAAGCCAGACAUCAAAUCCUCCUCCAGUAACCUUGGUCUCUCCAGAUCCCCGUGAAUUUCGAGUGACUGCGAGAGGAGAGAUGACAACUGAAGCAGCGACAAACAACAGGCGCCUCAGUGGCGCGAAGCGUCAUCUGUUUUGGGCCUCUCUGGGAGCAAGAACCUGUGCUGGUAAACUACUAAGUUAGUUCCUGACAGCAUUAAUCAAUGUUUUAACCCUGAUCGGUCGUUCAAGGUGCGUACUACUCAGGCGUCCACGUUUUCGUUGCCAUCAUACGCCUAGAGAUAAACAUUAUAUUAUUUUUCUAAGUUAAAAGGAACUUCGCAUUGUAUAUUUGUUAUCGGAAGAAUGUUGAACAUAUUCAUAUGAUUUAAAAGUAAACAAAAGUGGUACAAUAAACUUUAUUUGCUCAAAAUAUUAUAUCCAUUUUCUGAAGAGUAAUCAGUUAGUAUUUCAAAAUUUGGGAACGCAGACGACAUCUGGCAGCGUAGCAAGAGUAUAGGUCAUUAAUCCUUUGGAUGCGUUAAAACUAAUGAAGUUACUUCUCUUUUUCUUAAAAGACUGUAUAGUUUUGAUAGGAUUUAAUUAACGUGUAAUGUAAUUAGUGGAGCGCUCGUAUAGACACUACACCAUUUGUAGCUAGUUGUCUGUAUUGUGAGUCAACAAGGCAUCCACCAAUCACUGUUGACUAUGGUGCAGCCAAUGAAAGGUCAAGAAUUUCCAUGAGGGUGUUCCAGGGUUAUAUAUACUGC